rnacentral:tRNA from 1 species
GAAGGUGUAGCUCGGUGGUAGAGUACAUGGUUAACAUGCAGGAGGCCUUGGGUUCAAUUCCCACUACCUCCA